rnacentral:misc_RNA from 1 species
GGAGACCCCAUCCUGCACUCUAUCUAGAGGAUCUUCUCAGUGGAAAUAUUUUUUCAGUCUUCUCUUUUGCAGCUAAAAGCUUAAAUAACCUACCUUCUUCUUUCAUUUCUCUUUUUCUUUCCUCAAAAACCCUAAUCGAAGCCAUACACUGGCUCUAAAGGAAGAAGAAGAUAGACACAGAGAGAGAAGGGGCUCACAUCUCACAUAUGCCCUUAGCCUUUUACAGUUCAACCUGCUUUUGUUUGGUUUUCUGCUUUUCUUUCUAGACAUCAUAAUCAAGAUCUGUGCGCAAAUUUUCUUUUCUUUUCACAGAAACUUUUGUUGAUAGUGCAAGACAAGGAAGAGAUAUUGCCUCCAUUUCAGAUCAGGCUUUAAAAGAUAUGGGAACUUUCUUUAAAGCUGAUUUAGAAGA